GACGAACGCUGGCGGCGUGCCUAAUACAUGCAAGUCGAACGCAGUGGGGACGGGGGAGUAACACGUGGGUAACCUCCCAUCAGAGGGGAUAACACUUGGAAACAGGUGCUAAACCGAUAUGGGUGGAUGGAGCCGCGGUGCAUUAGCUAGGUGGUGAGGUAACGGCUCACCAAGGCCACGAUGCAUAGCGGACCUGAGAGGGUGAUCGGCCACACUGGGACUGAGACACGGCCCAGACUCCUACGGGAGGCAGCAGUAGGGAAUCUUCGGCAAUGGACGAAAGUCUGACCGAGCAACGCCGCGUGAGUGAAGAAGGUUUUCGGGUCGUAAAACUCUUUUAGUAGAGAGGCGGUAUCUAACCAGAAAGCCACGGCUAACUCCGUGCCAGCAGCCGCGGUAAUUC
rnacentral:rRNA from 1 species